rnacentral:rRNA from 1 species
UACGUAGGGUGCGAGCGUUGUCCGGAAUUAUUGGGCGUAAAGGGCUCGUAGGCGGUUUGUCGCGUCGGGAGUGAAAACCAGGUGCUUAACACCUGGCUUGCUUUCGAUACGGGCAGACUAGAGUGUGGUAGGGGAGACUGGAAUUCCUGGUGUAGCGGUGAAAUGCGCAGAUAUCAGGAGGAACACCGAUGGCGAAGGCAGGUCUCUGGGCCACUACUGACGCUGAGAAGCGAAAGCAUGGGGAGCGAACAGG